CACAGUGAUAAGAAACACCCAGGUAAGGAUAACCAGGAGAGCUGUCCUCACGGUGUCUUCAGGGAGAGUUUUCUUCUGAUGUCAAGUUGUUGUUUUGUCAUUGUUGUUUUGUUUUGUUUGUUUGUUUCCUAGGAGCAGUGAAGUGAAAUCUUGAUGGUGAAGCCCUGCCAUUUAUCCUGCCCAUGCUGUUUAUGGAUUCUCCCUGUAGGGAACUUGAAAAAAUCAAAAUGGAAGGUAUAGGAGCUUUUCAUGUAACAUGACUGUGCUUAGUUCACAAGAAAUCCGGAACUGGUAUGUUGUCAUGCUGACAUAACAGAUUUCUGAACAACUUCUGUACAGUACAUCUUGUCUCUCUGGACUUCAGCUAAGUAUUUGGUCAGGUGCCAUGUGGAAAAUUCUUAGUGAAGCUGGAGAAGAUAGGGAUUUGGAUGACUCUUAGGAGUGGAUGAGUUUCCUCCUACAGCACUCAAGGAAUUGGCUGGGUUGCCCCAGAAGCUGUCUUAGCUCAAAUAGCGUACAAUAUCUUCAAUAAUAUCUUGAAUGAUAGAGUGCAUGAACAGUGAAUUUACAGGUGACACCAAGCUUGGUGUCAUCACAGACAUUUUUGGAAGGUAGGAUUUGGAUUCAAAAUGAAAAUGUUGGAGGAAUAAUAAGAAAUAAAUUGGUGGAAAUUCAGGAAGAACAAGUGCAAAGUGCUGCAACUGAGAGAAAAAACAGAGGCCUAAACACAAACUGGGAAGUGACUAGUUAGACUGACAUACUGAGAAGAAGACUGGGGAUUACCCUGGACUGCAAGCUGAAUAUGAGUCAAUAGUAUAGUCUUGCUGCAAAUCCAGAAAGUAAUUCUUCCACUCCAUUCAGCUUUGGUGAAGCCUCACAGGAAGUAAUGAGUCUAGUUAUGGGCACUGGACUUCAAAAAAGUUAUGGACAAAUUGAAAUGAGUCUAGAGCAGUAUAACCAAAAUGAUUAGAGGUCUAAGAAACAGAUCCAGAAAGGUUGGAAAAUCUGCUGUUGGCACCUUGUUGCACGUUUAAUUUUAGGCGAGUCCUGGAGCUCUUAACCCUUGGGUUAUCUGCAUAUUACUACCUUUAAAUGGAUUAAAGCACUCAAUAUGUGGUUCAAAGUUAUACUAUUUCAGAUC